GAUGGCAGGUGAAGGGAGAGACUAGGGUCUGAUGGGAUGGUAGGUGUAGGGAGAGACUAGGGUCUGAUGGGAUGGCAGGUGUAGGGAGAGACUAGGGUCUGAU